UACUCAGAAAGGUGCCAGUCAC
rnacentral:miRNA from 1 species